GCAGCAGGCACGAAUCCUUUACACUGCAAGCCAGUUCGAUAAGGGGACCCCAAGUUCUUAGCCAUAGUGACUGCGCUUUUCUGGACUGUAGGGCGGUCCAGGAACCAAGGGCUGGGCAAGACCGGUGCCAGCCGCCGCGGUAAUACCGGCAGCCCAAGUGAUGACCGAUUUUAUUGGGCCUAAAGCGUCCGUAGCUGGCCGCACAAGUCCGUCUGGAAAUCCACUCGCUCAACGGGUGGCCGUCCGGCGGAACCUGUGUGUCUAGGGACCGGAAGGCCUGAAGGGUACUAUCGGGGUAGGAGUGAAAUCCUGUAAUCCCGCUAGGACCACCGAUGGCGAAAGCACUUCAGGAGAACGGAUCCGACAGUGAGGGACGAAAGCCAGGGUCUCGAACCGGAUUAGAUACCCGGGUAGUCCUGGCCGUAAACAAUGUCCUGUU
rnacentral:rRNA from 1 species